AUGGAUGGCGAUUUUUCUUUUGCUCUAAUCAAUUGAGACAUUAAUUCACUCAAUUUCCUGACGAGAAAGAAUCCAGGGAGGGGCCAAAGGGAGAAUCCUCUGGAUAAUGCAGCUUAUCAUCAGAAUGCCUGGUGUUCUCCACAAUCUGGCCUUGAUUACAGAAUUCUCUUCCUGUGACUAGGUGAAGAUUUUUGGAAUCUGUGGAUGAAAUCGCACAGUCAAUGCAAAGUGAAUCAGUGGUCUGAACAGCAGAAUUUAGGUUGAUAAUAUGUGGUGGAUGUAACUUGGUAAGUAGCAGUUUUCCGUCCAUUGAAACAGCUCAAGUCCCAGGGGAGCUCAUUAAGAUAGAAGACAAGCAACUCAAAAUAUCUUCAGGAAGUACCUGAAACUAACAAGAUUCACUAGGCCCCUUCCCUCUCAGAGUAAGCAGGAAAGACUGCUGAGAAAGAUUGUCAGACAAGACAAGUGCAAAGAAAACUCUUAAGAACAGAGCAGCAGCCUGGAAGAAGCUUAAAUGAGCCAAACAACCUGAGAGAAGCAGACACCAACAAAGCUGCCUGGAAUAGGGAUGGAUCAACUGAGCCACCUGGAAAGGCUACUCUCCAUCUCUUGAGCUGCCUGUAGGCAGAGUGCUUCAUGUUUCUUGCUUUUAUGAACUAUCGCACGUGCUGGGUUAAAACUCUGGCGAUGUAGCUGUCUUUGAGUAACUUCUGCUCUUGUAAGCAACCACAGUAAAAUUCAUGGUUCAUUA